AUUUUUUACCUCAGAGGUGAACUGAAAUGAUAAGAAACAUUAAAGCUGCUAAUGUGCUUAGCUAUUUUCUUGCUGAACACCAUCAGGAAACGAAUAGUAAUAAAAUAAAACUAAAAAACCAUUCACACUGCCGGAAGUCCCUCACCUACUUUGUUCCGGAAAAUACAAAAUGAUACUGUGCAACGCUUUCCAUUCUGCUUUAUGUCUGUGUUGACAAGCCGUUCACCCAGCCCAGUGUGCUGCUCCAGCAGUGGUCAUAAGCAGCCACCUCGAGAGAAAAGCACGUCCCAGGUUUUAUCCUCUGCCCUUCUUCCUAAAGUACCACCCAUCCAGCCUUCUGACAACUUCAUCUGUGAGUGUAGCCGGUACAAAAGAGAGAAACAUGGAAACAACAUCUCUACAAGUAUGGAGACAACACCGAAGCAACUGAAACUCUUUGAUGUCAAGCGGUCUUUGACUAUGAUAGAAUUAGUUACAUCAAAAACUUCUUACUUCACCAACUUUUGCAAUAAUAUCAUAAGCCUACGCUAUGAAGUUCAUUGGCAUUAA
rnacentral:lncRNA from 1 species